GAUGAACGCUGGCGGCGUGCCUAAUACAUGCAAGUCGAGCGAACAGACGAGGAGCUUUCUCCUCAUACGUUAUCGUCGCACGGGUGAGUGACACGUGUAUAACCUCCGUAUUAGACUGGGAUAACUUCGGUAAACCGGACCUAUUACCGGAUAAUAGAUUUAAUCUCAGCGUUCAGUAAUGAAAAAAGGUUUUGCCUUUUCUUAUACAUUGAUCCGCGCCGCAUAGGCUAGUUGGUGAGGUAGCGGCUUACAAAGGGGACGAUAAGUAGCCGACCCGAGAGGGUGAUGGGCAAAACUGGAACUGAGACACGGUCAAGACUCCUACGGGAGGAAGCAGUAGGAAAUCUCCCGAAAUGAGCGAAGGCCUACGGGGGAAACGCCGCGUGAGUGAUGAGGGCCUUCGGAUCGUAAGCCUCGGUUAUUAGGGAAAAACAAAUGUGUAAGUAAAUAUGGACGUAUUGACGGUACCUAAUCAGAAAGCCACGGCUAACUACGUG
rnacentral:rRNA from 1 species